rnacentral:rRNA from 1 species
AGCAGUCGCCGCGGGAAUACGCAGGUGGCAAGCGUUGUCCGGAAUUAUUGGGCGUAAAGGGCUCGCAGGCGGUUUCUUAAGUCUGAUGUGAAAGCCCCCGGCUCAACCGGGGAGGGUCAUUGGAAACUGGGAAACUUGAGUGCAGAAGAGGAGAGUGGAAUUCCACGUGUAGCGGUGAAAUGCGUAGAGAUGUGGAGGAACACCAGUGGCGAAGGCGGCUCUCUGGUCUGUAACUGACGCUGAGGAGCGAAAGCGUGGGGAGCGAACAGGAUUAGAUACCCGAGUAGUCCCUGUCUCUUAUAC